UUAAAGUAUUUAUUUGUUAUGUUAUUAUUACAAUAAUGCACUGUAAAUAUUAAUAGUAAUUUGCCUAUGUGAGUUUUGUUUUACAAGGGUUGCAGAAAUAGUGACACCUGCAGGUUAAACUAGUGAGCUGCAUUUAAUUUAAGUUACUGUGGUCAUGUGAUUAGCCUAACUAAUAGCAGUGCAAAAUGUGCAUGCAGUUUGUUGGUGCUAUGCUGUACACGGAGUUAGAUGCUAAAGAAGAGAAUAAUUAAACAGUAAAGCGUUACAGCAACUCCUAGAUUUCUGGUCGGAAGGCGCACACGCACGAGAACCAAUUCCUUGUCAUCAUGACCCCUGUAACUGCUCCAGCUGAUACCCAAAUCUCCCGACGCACAGCUUUUCUAAAAGGCAAGCCCAAAGCACUGGGGACUGUGCAGAUCAUGAUCGGAAUCAUGACUCUCUUGUUCGGUAUCGUUUUAACCUCGCUUACUGUUACACCUGCAAUCAUCAGUGGUAUCACUGUGUGGGGAUCACUUAUCGUACGUUAUUUUUGGUCUGCAUUUACAGCACCUUACUUUCCACAUUACAAUUCGGAAGUAAUUUAACUUAACUCA
ensembl:lncRNA